ensembl:lncRNA
GCUUAAGUUUGUCUGUCUGUCAACAUGGCCUAGCUGUCUCUCAUAGCCAUUUACUGUAGACUAUAAUUAAUCAGGUGUUUGUUUGGCCUGUGUGUGUGUGUGUGUGUGUGUGUGUGCGUGUGCGUGUGCGCGCGCGCGUAAAUCACAGAGAGAUGCGGAGAAUGCUGAGAGAAUGUUUCUUUAAGACCCAUUACCUUCCAAUCCGACAGAGGGGGAUGCUAUGGUAAGGUGGUGUAGCGUUGCUCCCCGCUCCCUUAUGCCGUUUGUGGAAAGGAGAGAGACGGGGGGAACCAUAUAUCCGGGUUUUUGAAAGAGGCAAAAUCAGCGGAGAUGGAUCCGAAGAAUAUUUAACGUCAGAUUUGAGCAAUAUGGAUGUCGCGUGAUGAAUGUGUGAAAGCCAGGAGCCACACUCCUCCCCGCCCCAAUGUCUGUUUGUUAUUUUGUUUUGUGCGUUCAGUCAAAUAAAUUAUGAGGGACACUUACCACGCUGCAUAUUGGUCCGAUAUUUUCUACUCCUCCUCAGACGACGAAGAGAUUCGUUACAGAAUCGCCCACCAAAAAGGACCAAGCAGCGUGGUAACCUGGAGUAGAGGGUUCUGGACUCCUGGAUUUGGGAGGAGAUUUUGGACGGUAAGGGACCCUGGGCACAGGCUGGGGAAUAUUGCCGCACCAGGGAAGAGCUGGAGGCAGCUAAAGCCCGAGCGGUGGCGAUAUGAGAAGUUAGCACGGCAGCGCAACAGGCACGAGAGGCAGCCCCCCAAAUAUUUUUUUUAGGGGGGGGGGGCGCACUUGGAGUGUGGCAGAGUCAGGUUGGACACCUGAGCCGUGGCGGGCGUCGUACUGGUCUGGCACCGUGUUAUGUGGCUGGCGGGCGUCGUACUGGUCUGGCACCGUGUUAUGUGGCUGGCGGGCGUCGUACUGGUCUGGCACCGUGUUAUGCGGUCAAGCGCACAGUGUCUCCAGUGCGCGUUCUUAACCCGGUGCGCUACAUCCCAGCGCCUCGCCAGUGCCAUGCGAGAGUGGGCAUCCAGCCAGGGCGUAUUGUGCCGGCCCAGCGUGUUUGUUCUCCGGUAUGCCGCUUCGGCCCAGGGUAUCCUGCUCCGGCGCUGCGUGCUGUGUCCCCGGGGCGCUGGGAGGGUACAGUGCGCCCUAUGCCUGACUUCCGCCCGUGCCGGGCGAAUGUGGGCUUUGAGCCUAAGGGAGAGGUGCAAGUGGUGAGCACCAGAUCUCCAGUGCUCACCCACAGCCCGGUUCAACCUGUGCCUACACUCUGGAGGGUCCGGGCUAAAGUGGUCAUCCAGCCUGGAGGAGUGGUGCCAAGGCUGCGCACCAGAUCUCCAGUGCUCCUCCACAGCCCGGUCCAUCUGGUGCCUCCUCCACGCACCAGGCCUCCCGUAGGUCUCCCCAGCCUGGUGGGUCCUGUGGCAGCCCCACACACCAGGCUGUCUCUCCGUCUCCUCCCUCCAGGUUCUCCAGUCUGUCAGGAGCUGCCAGAGCCGCCCGUCUGUCAGGAGCUGCCAGAGCCGCCCGUCAGUCAGGAGCUGCCAGAGCCGCCCUUCACUCCGGGGCUGCCAAAGCCGCCCUUCACUCCUGCGCCGCCAGAGUCGCCCUUCACACUGGCGCUGCCGGAGUCGCCCUUCACUCUGGCGCUGCCGGAGUCUCCCGCCUGUCCGGCGCUGCCAGAGCCGCCCAUCAGUCAGGAGCUGCCAGAGCCGCCCUUCACUCCGGAGCUGCCAAAGCCGCCCUUCACUCCAGCGCUGCUGGAGUCCCCCGCCUGUCCGGCGCUGCCGGAGUCUCCCGUCUAUUCGGGGCCUGAUGCAAGGGUCCCCCGUCCGAGGUCGGCGGCGAGGGUCGCUGCUCCAAAGGCGCCACUUCAGUGGGCCAAGACUAUGGUGGAGUGCGGUCCACGCCCCGCACCAGAGCCGCCCCGCGGACAGAUGCC